CCCUUAGAUGUUCUGGGCCGCACGCGUGCUACACUGAGUGGAUCAGCGGGUCAGGUUGCGCGAAAGUGUUUCCUAAUCUUUAAAUCCGCUCGUGAUGGGGAUUGACGGUUGCAAUUUUCCGUCAUGAACGAGGAAUACCUUGUAAGCGCGGGUCAUCAUCCCGCGCUGAAUACGUCCCUGCCCUUUGUACACACCGCCCGUCGCUCCUACCGAUUGAAUGCUCAGGUGAGCCAUUCGGACCUUCAUCAUGCCGGUUUCCGGUUUUGAUGAGGGAAAGUCUUGCGAACCUUAUCAUUUAGAGGAAGGAGAAGUCGUAACA
rnacentral:rRNA from 1 species